UCAGACAUGGUGUAAUUGGAACACAGUCUCUUCUUACAAUAUGUUAAUUCGGUGCUUAAGAGACAGUUCAGGGUUCAAAUCCCUGUGUCUGAA